GGAGGAUCGCUUGAGGCCAGGAGUUUCAGGAUGCAGUGAGCUAUGAUUACUGCUGCACUCCAGCCUGGGAAACUGUGAGAUCCCAUCUCUUAAAAAAAAAAGAGAGAGAGACAGAGAGUGACUCUUGACAGAAGUACGUAACUUGACUGAUCUUCAUAUUCAUCUAGAAAUUUUUAGAAAAUUCAGGCCCAAUGAGGGUAUUCUGUGUGUGUGUCUUUGUACUAACCCCCAUUCCUUGUAAAUGAAUGGUAAUGGAGUAGUUUUGAAUCCUGAAGUCCUAGAGGAUGACCUGUGUGGAGGCCCAACUUAGCCCAGGGGGAAAUGAGGAGGGGGCUUCUCAAAAAUGUACAGUACUCUAAAUGCAGUUGGGAUUUCCUGAAGAAGCAAAUCUAAUAAGUCAUAUUCAUUAGGAUACUCUUUGUAGCAUAAACAAACCUCAACAGGGUGGAAUGGGAAAUGAGGGAGAACAAUUUGCAAAUCUGCUUAGAAUAAUGAAAGGAAAUAAUGACAGAGGAUAUCAAUGGACUAUUUGUCACCUGGUAUCUUCAAGAUACAGAUAUCAAGAAAAGCAAAAACAGCUAUUUAGUGUGGUCUUUUACCAGAAAGAAUAGAGUUCCUAAUAGAUUUUUUUAAAAAAACACACACCUAGCCCUCAAAACAAGGUCUUUUUUAUUGUGAAAUAGAUUCCCAAGAGAAGAGCUGCUUCCCAGAAUAGUUUAAAAGCAGACAAGACAAAAUACUUCAGAAUCUAUAGCAGAAUAUAAGCUUAUAUGCACAGUAAUCUGUGAGGGCAUGCCAGUCCUUAUUCCAAUUUUACAUUUGUGUUCCAGAGAGCUACUUCUAGAAUUCAGUGAGAUAAAUGAGUGCAAGGGUUUAGAACAGACACUGACAUACAAUAACCCUCAAUAUCAUGAGCCUGAAUCCUUGCCUUUGACAAUGGUUUAAAAUCUACCUGAGUAGUAUAACCUAGGAAAAGGUCAGAUUUUAUAACAGGGAGAAACAGUGAAAGGGACACAGACAGAGAAAAAACAACAAGGAAUAUGUUACAGAUACAUUGUAUGAGUGGCAGCAACCUAACUGUAAGCUCUAACUUUUCAAAGGAAAUAAAGACCUGGACAAUAAGUACUCUCCCCUCCUGUAAAUCCUAUUAUUAUACCUAGAAAAUCCUUUGUAACAUUUUCAGCACAACAAUGAACAAAUGUGGUCUACCAGAGACCAUGUGGCAAUCUUUCACAAAAUGUAUCUGUAUGAAAAUGAGUAAAGGGGUAAGGAGCCCAAGCUUUCAAGUCAGGCAAAAACUGCUACAUUUCUUGCCUCUCUUAUACUGAUCCUGCCCAAGUUGAUUUAACGGCUCUGCGCUUUAGUGUCUUCAACUAUAAAACAGAGAUAUUAUUCUUUUCUUCAUAGGGUGUGUCAAUGGGAUAACGAAUGCAAAAUUGCUAGCACAAUGCCUGGCACAAGGCAAAUAGUAAAUAGCAGCUCCCU
rnacentral:lncRNA from 1 species